CAAUGUUAGCAAGGUCAGCACCUACAAAGCCCUGGGUAAGAGAUGCAACCAAGUUACAUACAAGCUCCAGGUCCUCCUCAAGGGGAACUUCUCUCAAGUGUACAGCCAGGAUCUUUCUCCUCCCAUCUUCAUCAGGUUCCCCCACUAAGAUUUUCCUGGAGAAGCGUCCAGGCCGACAUAGUGCUGGAUCUAGAGCUUCUGGUCUAUUAGUUGCAGCAACUACAAUGAUAUUCAAGUCCGAUUCAAAGCCGUCCAUCUCCGUAAGCAACUAGAAAAGAAGAAGGGUUUUUAGGGAAAACAAUGCAUAUUUUGACCAACAAAUAUAAGUAUCAAUUCUAGUCUAGAACACAGUGUUUCAACUCCUUUCUCCUACAUCCUAACUGCCUUUGCUAUCCCAAAAAUUAGACCAAUCUUGUAUUUGAAAAACAGCAAAUACACAAUUAACAUUUAACAGCAUUUAGUUACCGUGUCAUUACUAACAAUCAUUUUGUUAUUUGUCAAUUGUAUCCUGUCCGAAAAAUGAGAAAAAAUAAUGCAUAAAACAUAAAAUUCAACUAAAUGGAAUAAGAAGUAUCAGUUUGACCCUCAUGACCUAAUAUAAAUCAAAUUUUGGGACACAAGGAGUAAUUGAUCGAGUAUAAGAGAAGAUAGAAAAUAUGGCUCAACUCUUAAGAAAAAUCUGGUUUUCUAUGAACUUUUAAAAGUCCAAAUGCAGAAUUGGAACUCCAUAUGGAGAUGGACCAUGGCAAAAACUUCCCAGAAAAAUAAUUAUAUAUGUAGUUAAUUGAAGAAGGGGAAAAGCGGAGUCUCUGGAAGAAUAUCUAGAACGCCAAAGCACCAUAGUAGUGUUGGAAUGAGGGACAAGGUUUUAAUAGCAAAAACUUAAGGAAGAGGAGGUGACUUGCUGUGAGCUGGUGUAAAAUCAUCAUGUUCUGGAGUAAGGCUAGGACAUGGACCACCUCUAUUGCAUUGCAUACUUUCCUCAAAAUAUCGAUCCUAGUAUCCUUGUACAUUUCACUGAAGCAUAGCAGGUUGGAGGCUACAGAAGAAUGGUAGAAAAAGGAAAGCAGCUUCGCAAACAAACAUCACUGUGUCUUUUUGGGAUUAUGUUUGGUGAAAGAAUAGGAUAUUAUUUCAGAUCAGCAGGAAAGAUAAAAANUCCUCCUCAAGGGGAACUUCUCUCAAGUGUACAGCCAGGAUCUUUCUCCUCCCAUCUUCAUCAGGUUCCCCCACUAAGAUUUUCCUGGAGAAGCGUCCAGGCCGACAUAGUGCUGGAUCUAGAGCUUCUGGUCUAUUAGUUGCAGCAACUACAAUGAUAUUCAAGUCCGAUUCAAAGCCGUCCAUCUC
rnacentral:lncRNA from 1 species